CAACAGAUGUGGCCCACACCCAUUCAAGGGAGAGAGAAAAAAAAAACACAUUGCGCAUGGGUCUCCAACUUAACACUACUGUCAACUUAACAGCAAAACAGUUGCACAAAAUCCUCAAGGAAAGGGAGUUAAAGGAAAACUUAUUGCUUGACUUGGAAUUGUAUUGACUGACAUCAUCAUGAAGGCAUCAACCACAGCGGGUCCGGCGUUACCAAUGACAUCGCCAGAAACAUUCGAACAAGGAAUCAUUGAGGUUGUCACCCGUCUGGUCACACAGAAUUUCACAGAACACUUCACACAACCCUUCAGAGCUGGAGUUCUGACAACAACUUCUGCAGAUAUGACUGAAACAACCUCAGCCGCUUUUUUAGUCAUUGGCAGCAGAGAACUGGAAGGAGAGGCGGCCGAAGGAGGAAUUGGCUUUGGGGGUGACCAGAGAGAUAUACCUGCCGAAGCGCGUGCUACAGUGGGAGCCGCCAACGUAGAUGAUGGAUCCUUUGAAGCCAUUAUUUUCGGAGGAGGAAUUUUUGCGCUGCUCCUGGCGCUGCUCCUGGCGUUGCUGGUACUGCGCUACAUUGUCAAGCAUAAGGGCACUUACCACACCAAUGAGGCCGAGUGUGGUGAUUCUGUCGACAAGUAUGGCAGGGACUCUCAAAGCGAGCAGGUUCAACUAGAGAUUUUGGACAAGGACGAAUAGAAAGAAGAAUACUUCAUUUGAAACAGGACUUUUUCCGUUUCUAAACCAGGGCCAAUAUUUUCUAUGGAAUUGGAAAUGCCUAUGAUGGUCAUCUAAUUUCAAGACAACAUUUAUAUGGGGCCUACAACCAUCUCAGCUCUGCAGAUAUUGUUACGAAGAGACAAAAUAAUUACAUCACUUAUUUUUGUAUUGCCCAUAUAGUAUAUACACUAUAUACGCAAAAGUAUGUGGACACCCCUUCAAAUUAGUGGAUUGGCUAUUUCAGCCACAUUACAGCCUUAUUCUACAGCUUUAUUUCCCUCAUCAGUCUACAUAAAAUCUCAUAAUGACAAAGUAAAAACAGGUUUUUAUCAAUUUUUGCAAAUGUAUAAAAAAAAAAUUCUGAAAUAUCACAUUUACAUAAGUAUUCAGAUCCUUUACUCAGUACUUUGUUGAAGCACCUUUGGCAGUGAUUACAACCUUGAGUCUUGGGUAUGACGCUACAAGCUAGGCACACCUGUAUUUGGGGAGUUUAUCCCAUUCUUCUCUACAAAUCCUCUCAAGCUCUGUCAGGUUGGAUGGGGAGAGUUGCUGCACAGCUAUUUUCAGGUCUCGGGUUCAAGUCCGGGCUUUGGCUGGGCCACUCAAGGACGUUUAGAGGCUUGUCCCAAAGCCACUCCUGCAUUGUUUUGGCUGUGUGCUUAGGGUCGUUGUCCUGUUGGAAGGUGAACCUUCACCCCAGUCUAAGGUCCUGAGUGCUUCAUCAAUGAUCUCUCUGUACUUUGCUCAGUUCAACUUUCCCACGAUCCUGACUAGUCUCCCAGACCCUGCCACUGAAAGAUAUCCCCACAACAUGAUGCUGCCACCAUCAUGCUUCACCGUAGGGAUGGUGUCAGGUUUAAUCCAGACGUGACGCUUGGCAUUCAGGCCAAAGAGUUCAAUCUUGGUUUCAUCAGACGAGAGAAUCUUGUUUCUCAUGGUCUGAGAGUCCUUUAGGGGCUUUUAUUGGGCAAACUCCAAGCGAGCUGUCAUGUGCCUUUUACUGAGGAGGGGCUUCCGUCUGGCCACUCUACCAUAAAAGCCUGAUUGGUGGAGUGCUGCAGAGAUGAUUGUCCUUCUGGAAGGUUCUCCCAUCUCCACAGAGCAACUCUGGGGCACUGUCAGAGUGACCAUCGGGUACUUGUUUACCUCCCUGACCAAAGCCCUUCUCCCCCUUUUGCUCAGUUUGACCGGGCGACUAGCUCUAGGAAGAGUCUUGGUGGUUCCAAACUUGUUCCAUUUAAGAAUGAUGGAGGCCACUGUGUUCUUGGGGACCUUCAAUGCUGCAGAAAUGUUUUGGUACCCUUUCCCAGAUCUGUGCCUCGACACAAUCCUGUCUCAGAACUCUAUGGACAAUUCCUUCGACCUCAUGGCUUGGUUUUUGCUCUGAAAAGCACUGUCAUCUAUAGACAGGUGUGUGCCUUUCCAAAUCAUGUCCAAUCAAUUGAAUUUAUCACAGAUGGACUCCAAUCAAGUUGUAGAAACAUAUCAAGGAUGAUCAGUGGAAACAGGAUGGACCAGAGCUCAAUUUCGAGUCUCAUAACAAAGGGUCUGAAUACUUAUGUAACAUUAGAGUGUCUAGUUUGAGAAACAGACGUCUCACAAGUCCUCAACUGGUAGCUUCAUUAAAUAGUACCAGCAAAACACCAGCCUCAACCUCAACAGUGAAGAGGCGACUCCGGGAUGCUGGCUUUCUAGGCCAAGUUGCAAAGAAAAAGCCAUAUCUCAGACUGGCCAAUAAAAGUAAAAGAUUAAGAUGGGCAAAAGAACACAGACACUGGACAGAGGAACUCUGUCUAGAAGGCCAGCAUCCCAGAGUCGCCUCAUCACUGUUUAUGUUGCUCAGUUGUGCACCAGGGCCUCCCACUCCUCUUUCUAUUCUGGUUAGAGACAGUUUGCACUGUUCUGUGAAGGGAGUAGUACACAGUGCUGUACGAGAUCUUUAGUUUCUUGGCAAUUUCUCGCAUGGAAUAGCCAUCAUUUCUCAGAACAAGAAUAGACUGACGAGUUUCAGAAGAAAGUAAUUUUUUCCGGCCAUUUUGAGCCUGUAGUCAAAGCCACAAAUGCUGAUGCUCCAGAUAUUCAACUAGUCUAAAGAAGGCCAGUUGUAUUGCUUCUUUAUCAGAACGACAGUUUUCAGCUGUGCGAACAUAAUUACAAAAAAGUUUUCUAAUGAUCAAUUAGCCUUUUGAAAUGAGAAACUUGGAUUAGCUAACACAACGUGCCAUUGGAACACAGGAGUGAUGGUUGCUGAUAAUGGGCCUCUGUACGCCUAUGUAGAUAUUCCAUAAAAAAUAUGCCGUUUCCAGCUACAAUAGUCAUUUACAACAUUAACAAUAUCUGCACUGUAUUUCUGAUCAGUUUGAUGUUAUUUUAAUGGACAAAAAAAAAUGCUUUUCUUUCAAAAACAAGGAAAUUCUAAGUGACCCCAAACUUUUGAACGGUAGUGUAUGCUCAAAGUAUUAACAUCCCAAAAUACUGUAUCGGUGACUAAAUGUGGUCAAGUUUAUGUUGAAGAUAAUUCAUGUCUGUUGUUUUAUCACAUGAAAAUGCCAUUCGAUUAGGUGUGGGUAUGUAUCAAGCUACACAUUUGAUACAUUUGCACAGUCAUUAAUUAAAUCAGCCAAACUCUUUUUUCCCAAUUAAGAGUUUACUUGUAUACCCAGUCGAAAAAUCUGAUUAUUCAACACAACAUCUGAGUUCAGGAAACCAAGAUAUAGGGGCAAAUGUUGUCACUUCAAUAGUGUGUGUUAACGAGAUUUAGAAGCUUAUGGAGGAUUUUGUGUUUUCUAUUUUCAUCAAGCUAGAAUAGAGCAAUGCAGUGCCCGAGGCUGCUGAAGGGCAGUUCUGAAUCCUUGAGUAGCGCCAGGCAGCACUAUGUGGGUUUAAUGCAAUUCGAACAACCCCAGAAACGUUCCUGCAGAACUGAGCCAGCACACUUUGCAAAAAAAACAUUGUGCCUCUGGGAAAUCGUUUUACUCUAAUUGCGCAUUAUUCUUGGUUGGGAUACAAGACAAUACAAGCCAAUCUCAAGAUCAUACAUCACCUGAUCUACGAGCUGGCAAAGAGCACUUACUUUUGGCCAUUUGAUUGCAAGUUGAAAGUAUUUCUUUCCAUUUGUCUUCCUAAUCAAAGUAUGGGACAAUUGCUAACCUUUCUCCAAACAGAUUUUUCCUUCAAUUCUCUAAUCAAGUCCAACUUCAAAGCCAGUGACUCAGCGUGUGUUUGAGUGCAGUAGCUUGAGUGCUCUGUCUGAUUGAGGUAAAGACAAUGAAGCCAUUGAGACAUCUAUCCAACUGCCGUCCUCACCGACAACAUAUCAAAUCCUAUUGAUCAGAGAGGAAAACACUUACAAAAUAUGUGCCCCAAAUGGCACCCAAUUUCUUCUUUAGUGCACUAGGCUACUUUUGACCAGGGCCCUAUGGGGGAAUAGGGUGCUAAAUAGGGAAUAGGGUGCCACUUGGGACCCGGCCGUGACUUCACCAGGGCCACUGACACCUCUCGAGGAGAUUAACAACUUUUCUAAAAGAGUUAUUCCAGGGUCACUGAAGCCAUAGCUUGGCCUAGACAGCUAUAUAGAAGCACCAAGUGCUUGAAAGGCAAUAAUCAGGAAGUCAGCCUUGCAACCAGCCGCACUUCCCGUUCAAUGUAUUUUUAUGAUUAGAAAUCAAAUAACAGUUCAAAAGACACCCAUCGUGUUCUCUUACAAUUGUAUCCCAGCUUUCCUCCUGGCCUUGGUGUGCAGAGAACAUUCUUUUUUAUUGUGACAAUAAGCCAUACUUUGAUAUGGCCCUGAAGGCAUCAACAUAAAUUCCUCUCAUCCCGACUGCUCUGUGAAGCUUGAACAAUGGCAAAGCCGAAAGCUGGUGACUUUUCCAUCUCUUCUCCUACUGUCGACAAAAUGGCAUAAAAUACAAAUACAUGCUAGCAUUCUCCAUGGAUGAAUGUGGCAUGCGACUGUACUCACCUAAAGACAUCAACGAUGAAAACACUUUGAAUUUCUUUUGAACAAUGUAGCUACCUCACUCUCUUUGAGUUGUAGCUAAUUCCAGUAAAAGAGGAUACAGUACAUUAAUUAAUGAAUGACUUGACUUGGAAGCCCAUGGUACCGUAGUCUGAGUUGUGUAGAUUAUCUCCCUUGUUAGACAAUAGGCUAAGUCUUGGGUGCGUCCCAAACAGCACCCAUAGAGCUCUAGUCAAAAGUUGUGCACUACAGAAUGUACAGGAAAUAGGCUGCCAUUUGGGACGGAGACCUGGAUGUGUUCAGACAAAUGGAAGAAGAAUGGGAACAGGAAAUUCAUUGAAUCAUCUUGUCAUUGAAUCAUCUUCUUAGAAUAUCCCCAUGGCUUACAAUAUGCACGCUCCCAAAUGCAACCCUAUUCCCUGGUCCCUGGUCAAAAGUAGUGCAUUGCGUAGGGAUUAGGGUGCCAUUUGGGAUGCACUUUUAAGGUUCUGGGGCUCUUGAGAAAGGAGAGUUUUGCAUAAUACAGCAGCAAUAAAACAG
rnacentral:lncRNA from 1 species